CUUACCUCAAGGUUUAUGAGUGUUUGUUUUAUGUCAAAUAUUUAUAGAUCGAUUAGCUUGAAUUUUGAUCCCAUAUAUAUUAUUUUAUAGGGUGACUCUAAAGAAUCUAAGGGAUAUAACUUCUACCAUACUAAAGAACAGGAGUUGUUCGACAUUCCUUUCAAAAAAAGAGUACCUUGAUGAAGGUACUGAUGCUUUUAAU
rnacentral:lncRNA from 1 species